AUGUCUAGUAUAGCAUUAUACAGCGAAACUGCGAAUGGCUCAUUAAAUCAGUUAUCGUUUAUUUGAUAGUACCUUACUACUUGGAUAACCGUGGUAAUUCUAGAGCUAAUACAUGCUAARAAUCCCGACUUCGGAAGGGAUGUAUUUAUUAGAUUAAAAACCAAUGCCCUCCGGGGCUCACUGGUGAUUCAUGAUAACUUCUCGAAUCGCAUGGCCUUGYGCCGGCGAUGGUUCAUUCAAAUUUCUGCCCUAUCAACUUUCGACGGCUGGGUCUUGGCCAGCCAUGGUGACAACGGGUAACGGAGGGUUAGGGCUCGACCCCGGAGAAGGAGCCUGAGAAACGGCUACUACAUCCAAGGAAGGCAGCAGGCGCGCAAAUUACCCAAUCCCGACUCGGGGAGGUAGUGACAAUAAAUACUGAUACAGGGCUCUUUUGGGUCUUGUAAUUGGAAUGAGUACAAUUUAAAUCCCUUAACGAGGAACAAUUGGAGGGCAAGUCUGGUGCCAGCAGCCGCGGUAAUUCCAGCUCCAAUAGCGUAUAUUAAAGUUGUUGCAGUUAAAAAGCUCGUAGUUGAACCUUGGGUCUGGCUGGCCGGUCCGCCUCACCGCGUGCACUGGUCCGGCCGGACCUUUCCCUCUGGGGAACCGCAUGCCCUUCACUGGGUGUGYCGGGGAACCAGGACUUUUACUUUGAAAAAAUUAGAGUGUUCAAAGCAGGCCUUUGCUCGGAUACAUUAGCAUGGAAUAAUAGAAUAGGACGUGUGGUUCUAUUUUGUUGGUUUCUAGGACCGCCGUAAUGAUUAAUAGGGACAGUCGGGGGCAUCAGUAUUCAAUUGUCAGAGGUGAAAUUCUUGGAUUUAUUGAAGACUAACUACUGCGAAAGCAUUUGCCAAGGAUGUUUUCAUUAAUCAGGAACGAAAGUUAGGGGAUCGAAGACGAUCAGAUACCGUCGUAGUCUUAACCAUAAACUAUGCCGACUAGGGAUCGGACGAUGUUAUUCUUUGACUCGUUCGGCACCUUACACGAAAGUACAAGUUUCUGGAUCUGGC
rnacentral:rRNA from 1 species